UACGUAGGUGGCAAGCGUUGUCCGGAUUUACUGGGCGUAAAGCGCACGUAGGCGGAUCGUUAAGUCGGGGGUGAAAUCCUGGAGCUCAACUCCAGAACUGCCUUCGAUACUGGCGAUCUAGAGUCCGGAAGAGGUGAGUGGAACUCCUAGUGUAGAGGUGGAAUUCGUAGAUAUUAGGAAGAACACCAGUGGCGAAGGCGGCUUGCCAGAAUGCGCUCGACGGUGAGGGAUGGAAAGCUGGGG
rnacentral:rRNA from 1 species